rnacentral:tRNA from 1 species
GCGCGGUUAGUUCAGUGGUUAGAAUUUUCGCUUCCCAUCUUCUCGUGGGCCAGCGAAGGACCCGAGUUCGAAUCUCGGAUCGCGCA